rnacentral:tRNA from 1 species
GAAGUAAAAAGUUUACAAUUAAUUUCGGCUUAAUAAUUAAGGCUUUCGUGCCUUC